rnacentral:tRNA from 1 species
UGGAUCACCUCCUAACAGGGAGACAACAAAAUGUUUAAUAUUAUUAUUUUGUCACCUUAGGUCGAUCGGUAUCUCACAUUCUUAAUUCUUUAAGAAUUUCAUUUCCUAAGUUUUUCUAGGUCACACCCAUUACUUUUCCUGGGCCAUUAGCUCAGGUGGUUAGAGCGCACCCCUGAUAAGGGUGAGGUCCCUGGUUCAAGUCCAGGAUGGCCCAUAUCUCUAUGUUGGGGGUAUAGCUCAGUUGGUAGAGCGCCUGCUUUGCAAGCAGGAUGUCAGGAGUUCGAGUCUCCUAACCUCCACUGACCGAACUUAAUCUCCAUCUUCUGAAUCAAAGGAAGGUGAACUCGAAGGUGUGUGUGAUUUAGAUGUGUCCGCUGGCAUGAACUCAGCUUCCUGUCAUUCCAAGUGAAGAGUUUUUCUCUGAAUUUGGUUGAUAAGAUGCUGGGCUCGAACUGAGCAAUCAGUUUGAUGUCUAGCAGAACCUUGACAACUGCAUAGGUGAGUCUGGAAAGAAUAAAGCAUCUCUCAUGGAUGCAUCAUUCUUUUUAGGAUGAUGUUGAUUCUUGAGCAAGAGCCGAGACUCCAUCACGUUCUUCUGAUUGUGUCGAGCAAUCAGGAGUUUGAUCAUUGAUUUAGCAAUAAAUCAGUGAGAAUCCGUUUCAACGACGGCAAGCGUUUUGGAGAUUAUAUGGUCAAGCUACAAAGGGCUCACGGUGGAUACCUUGGCACACAGAGGCGAUGAAGG